rnacentral:rRNA from 1 species
GCCUGUCCCCAGGUAGGGAUACUCUGAGAAAUCGGAGCUAAUCCUAUGUGAUUCUGUUUUAAGAGUAAGAAUUAAAGCCGUAAGGCGCCGGGGAGGGGCUUGCGACCUAUCAGGUAGUUGGUGAGGUAACGGCCCACCAAGCCGAUGACGGGUAGCUGGUCUGAGAGGAUGAUCAGCCACACUGGGACUGAGACACGGCCCAGACCCCUACGGGAGGCAGCAGCAAGGAAUUUUGUGCAAUGGGCGAAAGCCUGACACAGCGACACCGCGUGGGGGAUGAAGGCCUUCGGGUGUACACCCCUUUUCCCAGGGAGGAAUAAGGACAGUAC